UUGAACUCAAUUCUCCUCUGGAUGCUUCACAAUCACAACAGGACACUUAACGUGCUUAGCACAAUAAUCACUCACGCUUCCUAAGAGAGCCCUGUAAAAUUUGGAAAAGAAUUAAAUCUCCAAACAAUCGGCUUGGCUGUGAAUUAGGCAAAAAUUGAAAGGAUAAAGCAGCUAGUAUCAAUUGCUUGUACCUCUUGAUGAAACCAUAACCGUGGCUUCCCAUCACCAAAGUGUCAGCUUCCAGUUUCUCCACAGUACCACAUAUUACAUCCUUGGCAUCGCCACAUCCCACUACUCUCUUUACAUGUAUCUGUAAAAAGGAAAAAAAAAAAAAUCAUCCGUAACAAACUGAGAAAAGGAAACAAAAAAAUCAUCCGUAACAAACUGAGAAAAGGAAACAAUACAGGGGUGUUGAUGAUAAAUAAGCAGAGGCUUACAUUGUUUUGGAAGUUCCUGUACACAGCCUCAGCUCGAUUCAUCACCGAAUUCACGGACUCACUAGCGUAUUUCUCGACGGCCUUGAUGACAUCAUUUGAGAAUAUAUAUCCUGCGAGAUGAAGGGUGUUUAGUUGAAUGGGAUGUCAUCAUGACUCAUGAACAAAUAAUAUCUAAUAAAAUAAAACAGCAGUAAAACAUAGAAAGGUCCAAGGUCUGGAGAGGACAAAUACUACGGAGAAAGUGGCAGUUCUGACCUGCGGCAUCAAAGGAGGAGUGGACCGGUAGAGGAGGUUUAACGUAGAGGAGGACAAGGGUGUUGUUGGUAUCAGGAGAAAAUAGGUUGUUGAGACACCAUGAAAGUGCAUGC
rnacentral:lncRNA from 1 species